rnacentral:rRNA from 1 species
UACGAAGGGUGCAAACGUUGCUCGGAAUUAUUGGGCGUAAAGCGCACGUAGGCGGCUUUGCAAGUCGGAUGUGAAAUCCCUCGGCUUAACCAAGGAAGUGCAUCCGAAACUGCAGAGCUUGAGUACUUAAGAGGAUCGCGGAAUUCCCGGUGUAGAGGUGAAAUUCGUAGAUAUCGGGAGGAACACCAGUGGCGAAGGCGGCGAUCUGGGAAGAUACGUGACGCUGAGGUGCGAAAGCGUGGGAGCAACAGG